rnacentral:rRNA from 1 species
GUUAAGCGACUAAGCGUACACGGUGGAUGCCCUGGCAGUCAGAGGCGAUGAAGGACGUGCUAAUCUGCGAUAAGCGUCGGUAAGGUGAUAUGAACCGUUAUAACCGGCGAUUUCCGAAUGGGGAAACCCAGUGUGAUUCGUCACACUAUCAUUAACUGAAUCCAUAGGUUAAUGAGGCGAACCGGGGGAACUGAAACAUCUAAGUACCCCGAGGAAAAGAAAUCAACCGAGAUUCCCCCAGUAGCGGCGAGCGAACGGGGAGCAGCCCAGAGCCUGAAUCAGUGUGUGUGUUAGUGGAAGCGUCUGGAAAGGCGCGCGAUACAGGGUGACAGCCCCGUACACAAAAAUGCACAUGCUGUGAGCUCGAUGAGUAGGGCGGGACACGUGGUAUCCUGUCUGAAUAUGGGGGGACCAUCCUCCAAGGCUAAAUACUCCUGACUGACCGAUAGUGAACCAGUACCGUGAGGGAAAGGCGAAAAGAACCCCGGCGAGGGGAGUGAAAAAGAACCUGAAACCGUGUACGUACAAGCAGUGGGAGCACGCUUAGGCGUGUGACUGCGUACCUUUUGUAUAAUGGGUCAGCGACUUAUAUUCUGUAGCAAGGUUAACCGAAUAGGGGAGCCGAAGGGAAACCGAGUCUUAACUGGGCGUUAAGUUGCAGGGUAUAGACCCGAAACCCGGUGAUCUAGCCAUGGGCAGGUUGAAGGUUGGGUAACACUAACUGGAGGACCGAACCGACUAAUGUUGAAAAAUUAGCGGAUGACUUGUGGCUGGGGGUGAAAGGCCAAUCAAACCGGGAGAUAGCUGGUUCUCCCCGAAAGCUAUUUAGGUAGCGCCUCGUGAAUUCAUCUCCGGGGGUAGAGCACUGUUUCGGCAAGGGGGUCAUCCCGACUUACCAACCCGAUGCAAACUGCGAAUACCGGAGAAUGUUAUCACGGGAGACACACGGCGGGUGCUAACGUCCGUCGUGAAGAGGGAAACAACCCAGACCGCCAGCUAAGGUCCCAAAGUCAUGGUUAAGUGGGAAACGAUGUGGGAAGGCCCAGACAGCCAGGAUGUUGGCUUAGAAGCAGCCAUCAUUUAAAGAAAGCGUAAUAGCUCACUGGUCGAGUCGGCCUGCGCGGAAGAUGUAACGGGGCUAAACCAUGCACCGAAGCUGCGGCAGCGACGCUUAUGCGUUGUUGGGUAGGGGAGCGUUCUGUAAGCCUGUGAAGGUGUACUGUGAGG